rnacentral:rRNA from 1 species
CCUACGGGCGGCAGCAGUGAGGAAUAUUUGUCAAUGGACGAGAGUCUGAACCAGCCAAGUAGCGUGAAGGAUGACUGCCCUACGGGUUGUAAACUUCUUUUAUAUGGGAAUAAAUUGUUCCACGUGUGGGAUUUUGUAUGUACCAUAUGAAUAAGGAUCGGCUAACUCCGUGCCAGCAGCCGCGGUAAUCCGGAGGAUCCGUGCGUUAUCCGGAUUUAUUGGGUGUAAAGGGAGCGUAGGUGGAUUGUUAAGUCAGUUGUGAAAGUUCGGGGCUCAACCGUAAAAUUGCAGUUGAAACUGGCAGUCUUGAGUACGGGAGGGGUGGGCGGAAUUCGUGGUGUAGCGGUGAAAUGCUUAGAUAUCACGAAGAACUCCGAUUGCGAAGGCAGUUCACUGGACUGCAACUGACGCUGAGGCUCGAAGGUGUGGGUAUCGAACAGGAUUAGAUACCCUGGUAGUC